rnacentral:rRNA from 1 species
UACGGGGGGGGCAAGCGUUGUUCGGAAUUACUGGGCGUAAAGGGUUCGUAGGUGGCCCGCUAAGCCAGACGUGAAAUCCCUCAGCUCAACUGGGGAACUGCGUCUGAGACUGGCAGGCUUGAGUGCAGGAGAGGAACGCGGAAUUCCAGGUGUAGCGGUGAAAUGCGUAGAUAUCUGGAGGAACACCGGUGGCGAAGGCGGCGUUCUGGACUGUUACUGACACUGAGGAACGAAAGCCAGGGGAGCAAACGGG